UACGGGGGGGGCACGCGUUGUUCGGAAUUACUGGGCGUAAAGGGCUCGUAGGUGGCCAACUAAGUCAGACGUGAAAUCCCUCGGCUUAACCGGGGAACUGCGUCUGAUACUGGAUGGCUUGAGUUUGGGAGAGGGACGCGGAAUUCCAGGUGUAGCGGUGAAAUGCGUAGAUAUCUGGAGGAACACCGGUGGCGAAGGCGGCGUCCUGGACCAACACUGACACUGAGGAGCGAAAGCCAGGGGAGCAAACGGG
rnacentral:rRNA from 1 species